AUGUAUCAACUGAGUAGUACUCCAGGAAAACAGAACCUGGGAAGGCUCCGUGGUGAAGAGACCUUUGCGUUGGGUCCUGAAGGAUGUGCAAGCAUGUUUCUAGCACAAAAGGAGCUGGUCAUUCCAGGCAAGGGGAACUGUCUGCCAAGAUGUGCACUCCCAGUAUCAGUAGAGCUUUUAGAAAAAGUUGAAGAUUGCUGGACUGUUCUUUGCUUGAAGAUGCCUCCUUGA
rnacentral:lncRNA from 1 species